rnacentral:lncRNA from 1 species
GCAAAUUCAACAACGACAGAAGACCAAUACAGGCUUGUUACCCUAUUCACAAGUCUUCGUUUCAGCACUACUCUAAAGACACCAUUAUCCCUAUUCCUUCACAAGCCAGGAUUUUCUGUAAAAAUAUUAGUAUUAUAAGUCUAGGCCACAAUGACCACCACAUACUUCCAUUUAUAAACUAGUUCACGUAUAAGUUUUUUGAAGUUGCAAUUCAUUUGGGUUUUGAAAGGAACAAAGUCCUUUAAAUCCCAACAAGGAAAAUAUUGCUCAAACCAUGUUUUAUAAAGUCAAAACCCAUUAAUAAAGAAAAAGAAGAAAGCCAUUUCUUUAGUUCAAGAAAACAUGAUAAAUGCCAGCGACGAAUUGGGUGAAAUUGAUUUUCUGAACCCUAUUGCAUCAAUUUUUUCAUUUUACCAGCGACGAAUCCUGCAAUUAGUUUGGCGAAAAAAUACAUCCACAAUCGGAAAUCAACAGACGAACAACAAUUAUGUGGUUGAAGAGCUAGGCCUGACCUGAUUCGGAAGAUGACGCUGAUUCCCCGAUGUUGCUGUUACACCCGCUGUGUCCAGAUUUCCGAUGGGAUUCCGUCAAUUGCCUUUGGAACUUUUCGCCCCCAAAACUUCCGACACAAAUGGAAUGGGAAACGAUGGAGGCGGUGAGAAGCUAGAGCAAAAAAAUUAUCAUCGAAACUUGCGAGAAGGGUAGCAAAAAAUUAAUCUAGAUCCGCAGGGUAAAAGUUAUCGGAUGGGGGAGGAGGUAUUAUUAGACGGGGUUAUUCUUGCAAAUUAAGACCGGGCCCUUUAUUAAACCUGGGCCAUCCGCAUAAGCCUAACAGAAUACCAAACACAGCAUAACUCUGGAAUAAAUUAACUUAUACAGGGUAUAACUAGGGAUGUCAAUGCAGCCCGAAACCCGUGGGCCGACCCGAAUAACCCGACAAAAUUAGAGGGUUAGGGUUGAAAAAUCGCAACCCGAAAAAACCUCCAGCCCGAUUAGCCCGCACCCGACUAACCCGGAAC